UUUCUUUGCUACGAUUGUAGAUGAAUUAAUUAAUUGUAAAUGUUAUUAUAUAAUUAAAAUGAUAAAUUUUAAUCGGUUACGUUAAGAAGAUAGAAAAAAACGUGGAAGAGAACGUAUCGGGAUGCUUAAAUUUACGCGCCAAUUCCCAUCGCUCGAAUCAUUCGAUUUUAUCGAUGGACGAGGAGGAAUCGAAUGACCUCGAGACUGCGAGAACAGAUAGAUGAUCGAGAUUCUGCGACAGUGGACCGUUUCUCGAGAUGAUCUUCAACAUCUGUUGAUCCGGCUAUCAUGUAAGAAUAGCUGGUAUUUAUUUCAUCUUACACAAUCUCUGGACCAAUUUGAUUGCUCGAGCUUGCCCACUUCUUCUUUGCUCACUCUCCAAUUUCCUAUUUCUCGAAUCAGUAUAGAGAAAAAUCAAUUACAACUCGAAAAAUGAAGCGUCUCUUAAUGAAUGGAAGGAAACGAAGAAGGUACGGCACCCGAUAAAUCCGUCACUGACGGUGAAUGGAUAUUGGCAUCUUGAAUAAGAAUAUUCAAGUAUAUAUAUAUAUAUAUAUAUGUAUACAGCAUAGAGGAUACAUUUGAUUAAUCACUUUUUAUUCCUAAAUAAAUAAAUGCCAUUUCCUUAUAUUCUUACGAACGAAAAUUAAAAAGCACAAUUCAAAGUAAUUGUAUUAUACGUAUAAUUGUGUGAAAUUCUACAUGAAUGAAACUUUCAACUUUUUUCUUUCUUUUUUUUUUUAUCCUUUAAAAUUAAUAUUUAAUAUAUUCAACAGUUAAUUCAUUUGAUGUUAAAAUAAAGUUUAUACGCGGAGAAGAAUUAAUCGGUGUUCCUUAAAAGGUUUUAUAGCGUUAGGUAUCAUCACUGGUAACCAUUUUCUUGUCGAGGAAUAACUGUAUACAUGUACUUAUUAAUGCUAACCGUACUAAGUGAUGCAAUUACCGGUAUAAAUAAACUCCAACAUUAGAAAACGGGAAA